rnacentral:rRNA from 1 species
UACAGAGGGUGCGAGCGUUAAUCGGAAUUACUGGGCGUAAAGGGUGCGUAGGUGGUGGCAUAAGUUAGGUGCGAAAGUCCCGGGCUUAACCUGGGGAUUGCGCCUGAUACUGUGUCGCUAGAGUACUGUAGAGGAAGGUGGAAUUUCCAGUGUAGCGGUGAAAUGCGUAGAUAUUGGAAGGAACAUCGGUGGCGAAGGCGACCUUCUGGACAGAUACUGACGCUGAGGUGCGAAAGCGUGGGGAGCAAACAGG